GUUAUAGGGUCAAGCAAUGAAGCGCACACGGUGGAUGCCUAGGCAGCCAGAGGCGAUGAAAGACGUGGUAGCCUGCGAUA
rnacentral:rRNA from 1 species